rnacentral:rRNA from 1 species
GACCUCGGAUCAGGUAGGGAUACCCGCUGACUUAAGCAUAUCA